rnacentral:rRNA from 1 species
UGGGGAAUAUUGCACAAUGGGCGCAAGCCUGAUGCAGCCAUGCCGCGUGUAUGAAGAAGGCCUUCGGGUUGUAAAGUACUUUCAGCGGGGAGGAAGGUGUUGUGGUUAAUAACCUCAGCAAUUGACGUUACCCGCAGAAGAAGCACCGGCUAACUCCGCGCCAGCAGCCGCGGUAAUACGGAGGGUGCAAGCGUUAAUCGGUAUUAGUGGGCGUAAAGCGCACGCAGGCGGUCUGUCAAGUCGGAUGUGAAAUCCCCGGGCUCAACCUGGGAACUGCAUCCGAAACUGGCAGGCUUGAGUCUUGUAGAGGGGGGUAGAAUUCCAGGUGUAGCGGUGAAAUGCGUAGAGAUCUGGAGGAAUACCGGUGGCGAAGGCGGCCCCCUGGACAAAGACUGACGCUCAGGUGCGAAAGCGUGGGGAGCAAACA